rnacentral:lncRNA from 1 species
GGCAAGCAACUAUCUGAAAUGUUUUCAGAGCUUCUCUGGUGUUACAUGCAUAGUAAAUAUUUUCUUUAACUUAGAUGAAAAAUGUCUGCUUCCUCAACCAGGGUGAUGCAUUGAAUUGUGACACAUGAGGGCAGGCCAAAUCAUCUCUGUUCUACCAGGAUCUAACCCAACCAGCCUCAGAGCCCACUGGAAGGAGUGGGAAGGGGAUGCCAGAAAGUCUGGGCAUGCAGGGGAAGUUGUGCCUGCUGAAGUCUGCCUGCUGGGUCUGUAUAGUGUCAGUGCCCUCACAAAUGCCAACUUCUUUUGACACAUUCUAUGCAGCUUCUAGAGGACUGGUUGAUACGGUGUGUAUAUUUAUUCUCUUUAAAUCUCACAGUGAAAUGUGAUCAGUGUUGGAGGGGCCUGGUGGCAUGUGUUUCAGUCAUGGUGGUGGAUCCCUCAUGAAUGGCUUGGUGUCCUCCCCACUGUAAGGAGUGAGUUCUCACUCUGUUAGUUCAUGGGAGGUUUGGUAAAAAGAGUCUGGGACUUUCCUCUCUCACACUUUCUUGCUCCUGAUCUUGCCAUGUGACACACCUGCACCCCUUCACCUUCCUCUGUGAUUGAAAGCUUCCUGAGGCCCUAACCAGAGACAUAUGCUAGCACCAUGCUUCUUGUACGGUCUGUGGAACCAUGGGCCAAAUAAAC